rnacentral:rRNA from 1 species
AUUGAACGCUGGCGGCAUGCCUUACACAUGCAAGUCGAACGGUAACAGGUCUUCGGAUGCUGACGAGUGGCGGACGGGUGAGUAAUACAUCGGAACGUGCCUAGUAGUGGGGGAUAACUACUCGAAAGAGUGGCUAAUACCGCAUGAGAUCUACGGAUGAAAGCAGGGGAUCGAAAGACCUUGUGCUACUAGAGCGGCCGAUGGCAGAUUAGGUAGUUGGUGGGAUAAAGGCUUACCAAGCCGACGAUCUGUAGCUGGUCUGAGAGGACGAUCAGCCACACUGGGACUGAGACACGGCCCAGACUCCGACGGGAGGCAGCAGUGGGGAAUUUUGGACAAUGGGCGAAAGCCUGAUUCAACAAUGCCGCGUGCAGGAUGAAGGCCUUCGGGUUGUAAACUGCUUUUGUACGGAACGAAAAGCCCUGGGUUAAUACCCUGGGGUCAUGACGGUACCGUAAGAAUAAGCACCGGCUAACUACGUGCCAGCCGCAGCCGUAACAC